rnacentral:rRNA from 1 species
AUGGUUGUCGUCAGCUCGUGUCGUGAGAUGUUGGGUUAAGUCCCGCAACGAGCGCAACCCCUAUUGUUAGUUGCCAUCAUUCAGUUGGGCACUCUAGCGAGACUGCCGGUAAUAAACCGGAGGAAGUGGGGGAUGACGUCAAAUCAUCAUGCCCCUUAUGACCUGGGCUACACACGUGCUACAAUGGUUGGUACAACGAGUUGCGAGUCGGUGACGGCGAGCUAAUCUCUUAAAGCCAAUCUCAGUUCGGAUUGUAGGCUGCAACUCGCCUACAUGAAGUCGGAAUCGCUAGUAAUCGCGGAUCAGCACGCCGCGGUGAAUACGUUCCCGGGCCUU